rnacentral:pre_miRNA from 2 species
AGCCUGUGCCCAGCAGCCCCUGAGAACCACGUCUGCUCUGAGCUGGGUACUGCCUGUUCAGAACAAACGCCGGUUCCCAGACGCUGCCAGCUGGCCCCGUUCCUCUGGAUU